rnacentral:lncRNA from 1 species
AAUAUAUAACCUCAAGCUGUGAGUGUCCGAACUCCCUAUCUAAGAUGCAACAAAUAACACUAUAGAAUCAAAGUAUAAUUGCGCAAUUACAGGUUUCCGAAUAUCUUCUGAGGAUAAAAGAAGAGAAAUCUUUUGUAGUGAUACUCAAGGUAUCAACAGGGAUUGCACUUAAAACAAAAAUGGGAAAAGAAGAAAAGUUCAAAAGAAGAACGAAAUGGGAAUGAGGCACUUGUAAUCCAUGUCCAAACAAAAUUUACAUCUCUUUCUGACCUCAACUUUAGAUUAUUCAUUCACAAAUAGUUCAGAUUCAUAUUAUUCAAAAUCAGAAUUCGAAAUUUAAUAGCUCCAACGAUUGAUUUAACCUGAAAAAGUCCCAGAAUCUCCUCGUGAAUAUAUUAAAGUUUUUUAUGGUGAAGGUGAGUUGUUUGGAUAGAGAAGCAUGGAUUGAAUAUCAAAGAAGAUCACUCGUCUAAAAAAGCCUUUCUCUGACACCAUGAACCAAUUCGGAGAAAGAAGAAGCAUGUCAUGUGAUAGGUGGCAGAAGAAUUUUUGAUAGAGAAUUACUUGACUCGAUGGAUGGCUUUCUACUCAAAGAAAUCCAACUUGAGCGUGAAAUAAAUGUCAAAUCAUUACCCUUGAUUUUCCAAAGAGGCUCAAUGCAAAACCCGACAUUGGUAGCACUAAUGCCUCAAAGAACCUGGACUUAGGCAGUGGGAACACCGUUUUGAUGAAAUGAAGAAGAAUGAAUUGGAGGCAUGAGAGAAAGAACUAGCGAACUACUUAGUUAACUUG